CCGGAACUUCCGCGCCCGCCUCCGUGGGAUCCGCCGCCGGAACUAAACGGGGUGAGGGGACAUAUUAGCCUAGCUCCACGUCGGGACACGGUGGGUGUUAUCGCUCUCCUGAUUGUCGUUACUUUUGGAAUAAACAAAACAUGUUUUGAAGAAAUACAACCCUGCCAAGACACCUAGGUCUGGAGUGCAAGGGGAAGAAGAUAAUUGAAACCAAGGGAGGAGAGAACCCAGAAAAGACGAUGUGAUCAAGAAGAAAGUGGAUUGAAGAAAGCAAUUAGAAGUCAUUGGCAUCCUUCCAGGGGACAGGUAGUUUGUUUCUCAUGAUAUUAACUUGGGAGCUGCUGACUUCCUCCAGAACAUGCCAUCCAGGAGGUGAAGGUAGAACGGCAACACCUCUGUGACCUAUUCUCUCAAGUCAGCUCCUGUCACUUCCCCAAAAGUCAAUGAUGUGAUUCUGAUGUAUCGUGAGUGACUGUUAGACAAUCUGCGUACCUUUAGAGGAAUCAAUGGACUGUGCUUGAGAUUUGGAGUUUGUCAAAGAUAAACUUUCGUCGAAGCCAUCACUGUAAGAAAACGAGGGAGAUGUCAUCACAAAGUGAAGCUACCUGGCAAUGAAUGGAACAUCUGGUCUGAGAACUGAGAUAUCUCGAUUUGCAGUCCUGAGUUCUUCCCCCUGGUCCAGAAUGUGAUUACUUUUGGAAAGCUUGCUACAAUAGGCUUGUUUGUUUGUUUGUUUUUGGUCAUUUUCUAUAAACUAAAGAACCCCUCCUUCUGUUGCAGCAAACCCUGCAUCAAGUGUCCGUGUCCACUGUGUGUCUUCCCCUCAAGGUUAUU